rnacentral:rRNA from 1 species
GGACGAACGCUGGCGGCGUGCCUAAUACAUGCAAGUCGAACGAACGGAGGAAGAGCUUGCUCUUCCAAAGUUAGUGGCGGACGGGUGAGUAACACGUGGGCAACCUGCCUGUAAGUUGGGGAUAACUCCGGGAAACCGGGGCUAAUACCGAAUGAUARARUGUGGCGCAUGCCACGCUUUUGAAAGAUGGUUUCGGCUAUCGCUUACAGAUGGGCCCGCGGUGCAUUAGCUAGUUGGUAGGGUAAUGGCCUACCAAGGCAACGAUGCAUAGCCGACCUGAGAGGGUGAUCGGCCACACUGGGACUGAGACACGGCCCAGACUCCUACGGGAGGCAGCAGUAGGGAAUCUUCCGCAAUGGACGAAAGUCUGACGGAGCAACGCCGCGUGUAUGAAGAAGGUUUUCGGAUCGUAAAGUACUGUUGUUAGAGAAGAACAAGGAUAAGAGUAACUGCUUGUCCCUUGACGGUAUCUAACCAGAAAGCCACGG